rnacentral:rRNA from 1 species
UGGGGAAUAUUGGACAAUGGGGGAAACCCUGAUCCAGCGACGCCGCGUGUGUGAAGAAGGCCUGCGGGUUGUAAAGCACUUUCGGUGGGAACGAAAUAUGCCGGGCUAAUACCCCGGUAGGCUGACGUUACUCAAUGAAGAAGCACCGGCUAACUCUGUGCCAGCAGCCGCGGUAAUACAGAGGGUGCGAGCGUUGUUCGGAAUUACUGGGCGUAAAGCGCACGUAGGCGGACUGAUAAGUCAGGGGUGAAAUCCCGGGGCUCAACCUCGGAACUGCCUUUGAUACUGUUAGUCUCGAGUCCGGAAGAGGUGAGUGGAAUUCCUAGUGUAGAGGUGAAAUUCGUAGAUAUUAGGAAGAACACCAGUGGCGAAGGCGGCUCACUGGUCCGGUACUGACGCUGAGGUGCGAAAGCGUGGGGAGCAAACAGGAUUAGAUACCCCAGUAGUCCCUGAGCGGGCUGGCAAGGCGCAU